ensembl:lncRNA
AAUGAUUUUAGUUUUUUAAAUUUAUUUUGUAACAGUAACUACAUUUAAAAAAAAGCUGAAAUUCAGCAUUUUUUAAAACUCUUUGGAUUAAAUGUUUCCCAGACAUUAAAAAAAAUCUCUCCACCAGACAAAAUGGAAAUACUUUCAGUGUGGAUUACGUGUCAUCCUAAUGGUGCCGAACCACGAGGAGAGAAGUGCUGAAAUAUUAAAAGUGUAACUGGUGGUUAAUAUGGCUCAAAAGGUCACACAUAUGAUUUCAACGCGUAAUAUAUUAAACAGAGCCACAUAUGGCUUCAAGUGAAAUACACGAAAUUCUCAUUAUUGUCAGAGGGGUGCAAACUUGGUAUCAUACGUCAAACGUGCACUGAGUCCUUAACAAAUAAAUAUUUCUGUCUGUUACGAGUGCAAAAAAUAAAAAUAAAAAAUGCAUUAAAAAAAUAACCAAAACUAAUAUUUCACAGCCUUCCUUUGAUUCCCAGUUUUCUUUUAAUUUUUUUGAGGAAGGCCUCUAUAUUGCAUAAAAUCUCCAGAAACAGUUAAAUUUUUCCCCCACACUGCUGUCAAAUUCAAACUUUCUAGCUCACAAUAUUUGUGCAUGGUUUACUCCAUAAAAUGUAAAACAUCAGCCAAAAUGACUCAUGGAUAUAAACUACUGUGUUACCCACAUGCUAUCCAGCUGAAUCACAGCAAAGUGAGGAUCAAGUGUUACUAAAAACAAGUACAAAACAAUGCAAAGCACAAGAAACCUCCUCGAUUGUGCCACUUAAAAACAUUUACACAGCGAGUAAGCUUUUAAUGCUCGUUUCUGUUUUACUUACUCAGUUUUGAAGGGGGAAAUAGCGGGAACAGCUGACAUUUGACAUUACAUGCAAAACCAUGAUCAAACCCAAUAGUUAAUGGCCUCAAACACACCUUUUGAUCACAAACAGCUUACAAAUUUAAUGACUUCAUGGUGAACUGAGCCAAUUUCUCUCCAUUCUUGCAGUAUUCUCACCACAGGCGACGCAGAAUAUCAAAAAC